rnacentral:pre_miRNA from 2 species
AGCUCAUCCAUAGUUGUCACUGAUCUGAGACAGUGACAACUAUGGAUGAGCUCU